GCCAGUGUGGUUCAGUGGUUAGAGUUUUGGACUAGGACCUGGGAGACCAGGGUUCAAAUCUCUACUCAGCCA
rnacentral:tRNA from 1 species